ACAUGCAAGUCGAGCGAACAGACAAGGUAGCUUGCUCCUUUGACGUUAGCGGCGGACGGGUGAGUAACACGUGGGUAACCUACCUAUAAGACUGGGAUAACUUCGGGAAACCGGAGCUAAUACCGGAUAAUAUUUCGAACCGCAUGGUUCGAUAGUGAAAGAUGGUUUUGCUAUCACUUAUAGAUGGACCCGCGCCGUAUUAGCUAGUUGGUAAGGUAACGGCUUACCAAGGCGACGAUACGUAGCCGACCUGAGAGGGUGAUCGGCCACACUGGAACUGAGACACGGUCCAGACUCCUACGGGAGGCAGCAGUAGGGAAUCUUCCGCAAUGGGCGAAAGCCUGACGGAGCAACGCCGCGUGAGUGAUGAAGGUCUUCGGAUCGUAAAACUCUGUUAUUAGGGAAGAACAUACGUGUAAGUAACUAUGCACGUCUUGACGGUACCUAAUCAGAAAGCCACGGCUAACUACGUGCCAGCAGCCGCGGUAAUACGUAGGUGGCAAGCGUUAUCCGGAAUUAUUGGGCGUAAAGCGCGCGUAGGCGGUUUUUUAAGUCUGAUGUGAAAGCCCACGGCUCAACCGUGGAGGGUCAUUGGAAACUGGAAAACUUGAGUGCAGAAGAGGAAAGUGGAAUUCCAUGUGUAGCGGUGAAAUGCGCAGAGAUAUGGAGGAACACCAGUGGCGAAGGCGACUUUCUGGUCUGUAACUGACGCUGAUGUGCGAAAGCGUGGGGAUCAAACAGGAUUAGAUACCCUGGUAGUCCACGCCGUAAACGAUGAGUGCUAAGUGUUAGGGGGUUUCCGCCCCUUAGUGCUGCAGCUAACGCAUUAAGCACUCCGCCUGGGGAGUACGACCGCAAGGUUGAAACUCAAGGAAUUGACGGGGACCCGCACAAGCGGUGGAGCAUGUGGUUUAAUUCGAAGCAACGCGAAGAACCUUACCAAUCUUGACAUCCUUUGACACUCUAGAGAUAGAGCU
rnacentral:rRNA from 1 species